CAGGUAGUGAAUGGCUCGGUUCGAGAAGCCGACGAAGGACGUGGCAAGCUGCGAUAAGCUUGGGCGAGGUGCAUGCAGCCUUUGAGCUCAAGAUUUCCGAAU
rnacentral:rRNA from 1 species